rnacentral:rRNA from 1 species
UACGGGAGGCAGCAGUGGGGAAUAUUGCACAAUGGGCGAAAGCCUGAUGCAGCUAUGCCGCGUGUAUGAAGAAGGCCUUAGGGUUGUAAAGUACUUUCAUCGGGGAGGAAAAAACAAACUAAUAAUUUUAUUUCUUGACGUUACCCGAAAAAGAAGCACCGGCUAACUCCGUGCCAGCAGCCGCGGUAAUACGGAGGGUGCUAGCGUUAAUCAGAAUUACUGGGCGUAAAGAGCACGUAGGUGGUUUUUUAAGUUCAGAUGUGAAAUCCCUGGGCUUAACCUAGGAACUGCAUUUUGAAACUGAAAUACUAGAGUAUCGUAGAGGGAGGUAGAAUUCUAGGUGUAGCGGUGAAAUGCGUAGAUAUCUGGAGGAAUACCUGUGGCGAAAGCGGCCUCCUAAACGAAUACUGACACUGAGGUGCGAAAAGCGUGGGGGAGCAAACAGGGAUUAGAUACC